CUCCUCCUCCUCUCCCAAUCCCUGCCUCCUUUACCCUCAUGCGCCGCCUCCUCCCGCUGACCUCUUCCUCCUCCUCGCGUCCCUCACUCUCCCCCUCAGCGUGUCCAAGCGCCAGUCGUCACAGCGACGAACGCUGUAGCACGCAAUCGGCCCGAUGCGGGAGAGAGAGGAUGGUGUAGGGAGGAGAAGCAGGUGGAGGCAGAGAAGGUGAAAUAGCAGUGGAAGGCCCUCUCCAUCAUCCUCUAGCGCUAGGCCACCAAGCCCAUCCUCGACAAGCACAAAUCCAACUAAGGAGGAGGCGCUGCAGGAGUCGGACAGGAGGACAGCGGCGGCGCGGUAGUGGCGUCCCUGGCGUCGGCGCAGUGCGUCGUUUCGAGUCGUUUCGAGAUGUGUUUCGCCGGCCUCCUCGGUGGCGCGCUAUGUCCGCCCUGUAUCUUCAACUCCGUCUUUGCUCAUGGCUUUGGGCUUGGUAUGGAUGGGCCGCGCGAAUGGCAGGAAGUCGCCUCGGUCGCCGAUUUACCUGUCCAGAUUGACAUGCCUAAACCCGCUGUGAGCUCCUCUUCUUUGUUUGCCAUGAAGCACAACUCUGUUGUAUUCUUGCCCUCUUCUAAGUUUCUGCAUUGACAUGGAGGUCUGAACAUUUCUUUGUUUUCCAUGAAGCACAACUCUGUUGUAUUCUUGCCCUCUUCUAAGUUUCUGCAUUGAGAUGGAGGUCUGAACAUGCGAAUAAUACUAUUUGUGCCCCUACUUGUUUAAUUAUGUUAUUGUGAAGCAAAGACUUCACACUUUGCAUUUUAUGAAGCAAUAUCAUUUUCUGUUUGUGAGCAAACUACGGAGUGCUCUUUAGUGGUUCACACAACAUCAGGAAAAUCCUCUCUUAGUUCUUCUAUAUAUUUGUUUCAAUCCAUUUUAUCGCUUUGUGGGUUCCGAUGUGAGUGGUGUGUGGCUGCAGCGGUGAGGCAGAGCUCAUGAGUAGUGGAUGGUCCUGACCACAACUGAUUAGGUGGUAGUGGUUUAACACCUCGCAUUGGCUCCUGAAGCCUGAAAAUUGUGAUGCCUCAUUCUAAUUUUCUUAGAUAAAUGUGUAGAAGCAUGGAGCUCAGUUUUUAAAACUGUAUUAAUAAGAUAGAAGGUAUGGUAUCUUGUAAGCAAAAUUUGUUUGUCUUUCAUGUUUUGUGUCGAAAGCCUUCUUGAACUUUAAUUUUCUUCUUAACAGAGCGUUGGUGUCCAAAGAAAGAAUAGUUGUCUGUUAUUAUAUUUUGUCCUAAAGCUCAACUUUAGAAAAAUAUUAUAAUUAAAAAAUAUACUCUUUCUAAACCUCAUCAAUGAAUAAUAUCUAUAGUCUACCCAAAUUGGUGGUCUUCACCAAAAUAUGUUUUUCUUGUUUUCUUUCAGUUAUCUCAUUUUUUAUUUUCAGAGGAACAAGAUAAGUGGAGAGGAAUCACGCGUCUUUGCGUUGUCACCUACAAUACUAACUCCAAGAAGAGAAGGAUGCCACAUGAUUCAUUGCCGGAUCCAAAGGAUCAGGUCACCUAGCCGAUUGCUCGAGGAGACAAGAUUAGUUGUUCUCAAGUACAUUAUCACAUAUUCAUGAUUGUAUUUUGUCUCAGGUUGGCCAAAACAAUCAUUCUUAAGCUUGUUGGAUCCACUUUGCAUGUUUCACAUUGUAGUUUGUUCUAGGUUUCUAGAAGCAACAAUCUUAUAAUUUCACACAACUUAUAAGAUAGUAGCCAUUGUUGAAGUAAGUAUUACUGAUUUCUUAAUUCUAUUCGAUAGUCCAGUUUUCUUCAGUAACAUGUUCUAAAAUUGUGUAAAUCACUGGCAAUUCACAGAAGAACCUGCACUAACAUUGUUUCAGUUACAAGCAAGCUGGAAUCUGACUAUUUACAGUAAGUUUCAUUCUUCUCGUUUGCUUACUAAUGAAAUACUGAGUUGAGUAUAGCAUUGAUGACAUACCCACCAGGAGGUCUCUUGUGUACUAUAAGAAUACUCAUGUACUCGAUUUCUACGAUUUCAGCUUGGUUUGGUUGCCCUUUUUCAGUUACACUAGCUUAUGAAUGCAUGUCCAGCUGCUAAACUGUCACCCAUCUAGCUAAUAUUGUUGAAUAGACAGGUUCAACUGGUUGCCUGGGAAAAAUGGCAUUUCAGAUUCUUGGUAUUUAUUUAGUUGUUAUUGCCAUGAGGGUUUUGUCGGAAGAAUAAUAAUAUAUUAUUUUAUCUUUGUGAUCUUUUAUUCAGCAAAUGAUGCUCCCAAAUUGGGCUGGAUUUGCUAUGUUUAAAUGUCUUCAGUUUGUUGAUAAGUGUUUGUGGUUUUCUUAGCCAGGGUGGACUUUCCAAGGAUUGUUGUAAUUUUUUUUGCUUUGUUUGUUAAAAGUCAUGUCCUCCUCCACUUUGUUGAUCUAUAGCUCUGCCUGUAUGUACAUAUCACCACUAGAUUUAAUUUAUUUUGAUCAUGUUUUUGUCCAGGUUCCUCUCAUGAUGUAAAGUGUAAAGUAGGUUUCCCCCAAUCAUGAAUCCAUGGGUCAGCCACAGUCCCCAUAAUUUCUCAUAUUUGUUUGUGUAGAUGCUUUUGUAUCUAUUCCUAUAAUAUGUUCGAUGAAAUAUUCAAUCAGUCUGCAGAGGAAGAUUAUAUCCUUUUUAUUGUCUGCUAUCUACUGGAUAAUUCCUAACUUCUGAAAUUUAGUUGCAGUCAACGAUCACUUAGCUAUACAAUAUCUCAGUUCUGUUAUGUUCCUUGGUGUAUGACAGAAAAAAUCUGAGAUAAGAUUCAGUGCCAUGCAAACCAUAUAGCCAUAUAUUGGGUGUUUCUGCUGUAUUUAUUUUUAACUCAUUAUAUAAAG